CAAUCAAUCCCGAAGCAGAUCUUGCAUGUUGCUGAUCAAAGGCCGCAUCAAAGUAGGCUGAUGUGCUCCUUCUUCUCUCUUCAAUUCUCAGACCACCAUUUCCAGCCAAGAUGAGUUUCUUCUCCUCAAUUCCUCUUAGUUUGGAGAUAAAAUCUAAAAUUUUAAUAGAAAUGUCCCUGCUUGUUGAUUGUCUGUUUUCAUAAACAAAUUUGUUCCUGCUUGUCCAGAUGAUCCAAAGCCCAUAACAGAAAAGUCGGCACUGUUCAUUUGACCCGCGACAAAAAACCCAUGACAUCCACGAAAAAUAUGGUUACAGUCCUCCUCUUCAAGGUUGCAUCGGGGACGUCGAGCAUCAGCAACUGUUUGUUUGAUCUUCAGAUUAGCAAAAUUAGGAAUGUAAUUCCAAGAGAUUCCCCAUAUUGUAAUUUUGAUUUUUGGGGGAAUUUGUAAAUUCCAUAAUUUUUAUUAAAAAGCUUUAGUCUCGGUUUGUUAAUUAAUAGGAUUUUGAGUACCCUCCUGUAAUAGUUUGUAGGCGCUUCGAACCGAAAAAUUGCCAAAAGGUUCUCCUCUCCAGACUUGAAAAUCUUCAUUUGCUGACGUUGCCAAUGGAAUCUGCAAGAUCUUUUUAGCAACUUCCGCAUUAAAGAGGUCCUCCCAAACAGAAAUACGAUCCCCUUUGCCAACCCUCCAGCAAAGUCCUUCUUCCAGAAUACCUUUUGCCGACCAGAUACUCUUCCAGGUAAGCGAAGGUAAAUUUCCUAAUUGAGCUAUUAGAAAACACACAUUCGGAUAGUAUUUAGCUUUCAAUCCUCGGGCUAACAAAGAAUCUGGAAAAUUAAUAAGACGCCAACCCUGUUUAGCUAAUAAUGCAAUAUUAAAUUUAUCAAGUUUUCUAAAACCAAGGCCACCUGCUUCUUUCAAGACACACACAUCCUUCCACGCACACCAAUGAAUCCCCUUCUUUCCCCGAUUUUUCCCCCACCAGAAUCUGGCUAUUAUACCUUCCAACUCGUUACAUAGGGACUUAGGAAGUAGAAAACACGCCAUAGAAUAGGUUGGAAUGGACUAUAAUACUGCCUUAAUGAAAACCUCUUUUCCACCUUGAGAAAGGUACUUAACACUCCAAUUGUCAAUUCUUUGUUUUAAUCUGUCCUUCAGACUUUGAAAAACUAUUUUCUUUCCUCUACCCACUAAAUUUGGAAGUCCUAAAUACCUUUCUGGAUUAUUCGAGCUACGAACACCAAGCAUCCGAACAAUUACCUUUUUUCUUCCUCUCGCGUAUUUGUACUGAAAAAAAUUGUGGAUUUGUUAUAAUUAACGCAUUGACCCAAACUUAGCUCAUAUUCCUUUAAAUACUCUUCAACGCAGUAGCUCCUCUCUCUGUGACUUCUCCAAACAGAAUGCAAUCAUCCGCAAAUAACAAAUGUGAAAUUUGCGGACCAUUUCUACUAACCUUCACUCCUCGAAUUAAAUUUCCUUCUGUUGCUUGCCUUAGAAGACUAGAAAGUCCUUUUCCACAAAAUAGAAAUAAAAAAGGGCUCAAAGGAGCUCCUUGUCUAAGGCCUCUAGACGGGAAAAAUCUUUCUCCAAUGACACCAUUAAGAACCACUGAAUAUGAUACUGUUGAAAUACAUUUCAUCAACAUGUCAACCCACUCUGAAUCAAACCCUAAUUUCUUCAUUAGUUUUUCAAGACAAUGUUGUUGUUAUUAUGUAGUGUGCUACUAAUUAUGCAUUUGGAUAAUAUUUAAUUUCUAGUAUUAAUUAUGGUUUGGAAGCUAAUUUAUA